rnacentral:rRNA from 1 species
UACGUAGGGGGCAAGCGUUGUCCGGAUUUAUUGGGCGUAAAGAGCGUGUAGGCGGCCACACAGGUCUGCUGUGAAAACUCGAGGCUCAACCUCGAGCUGUCGGUGGAAACCGUAUGGCUAGAGUCCGGAAGAGGAGAGUGGAAUUCCCGGUGUAGCGGUGAAAUGCGCAGAUAUCGGGAAGAACACCCGUGGCGAAGGCGGCUCUCUGGGACGGUACUGACGCUGAGACGCGAAAGCGUGGGGAGCGAACAGG